rnacentral:rRNA from 1 species
GAUGAACGCUAGCGGCAGGCCUAACACAUGCAAGUCGAGGGGUAACAUUGGAGCUUGCUCCAGAUGACGACCGGCGCACGGGUGCGUAACGCGUAUAGAAUCUACCUUAUACUGAGGGAUAGCCUUUGGAAACGAAGAUUAAUACCUCAUAGUAUCAUAAGAUCUCCUGAUUUAAUGAUUAAAGGUUACGGUAUAAGAUGACUAUGCGUCCUAUUAGCUAGAUGGUAAGGUAACGGCUUACCAUGGCCACGAUAGGUAGGGGCCCUGAGAGGGGGAUCCCCCACACUGGUACUGAGACACGGACCAGACUCCUACGGGAGGCAGCAGUGAGGAAUAUUGGACAAUGGAGGCAACUCUGAUCCAGCCAUGCCGCGUGCAGGAAGACUGCCCUAUGGGUUGUAAACUGCUUUUAUACAGGAAGAAACAGCGAUACGUGUAUCGCCUUGACGGUACUGUAAGAAUAAGGAUCGGCUAACUCCG